GAUGAACGCUGACAGAAUGCUUAACACAUGCAAGUCUACUUGAACUUCGGUUUGGGUGGCGGACGGGUGAGUAACGCGUACAGAACUUGCCUCACAGAUAGGGACAACAUUUGGAAACGAAUGCUAAUACCUGAUAUUAUGAUUUUAGGGCAUCCUAGAAUUAUGAAAGCUAUAUGCACUGUGAGAGAGCUUUGCGUCCCAUUAGCUAGUUGGAGAGGUAACGGCUCACCAAGGCGAUGAUGGGUAGCCGGCCUGAGAGGGUGAUCGGCCACAAGGGGACUGGGACACGGCCCUUACUCCUACGGGAGGCAGCAGUGGGGAAUAUCGGACAAUGGACCAAGAGUCUGAUCCAGCAAUUCUGUGUGCACGAUGAAGUUUUUCGGAAUGUAAAGUGCUUUCAGUUGGGAAGAAAAAAAUGACGGUACCAACAGAAGAAGUGACGGCUAAAUACGUG
rnacentral:rRNA from 1 species